UGGGGAAUCUUGCGCAAUGGGGGAAACCCUGACGCAGCGACGCCGCGUGCGGGAUGAAGGCCUUCGGGUUGUAAACCGCUUUCAGCAGGGACGAGGCCUUAUGGUGACGGUACCCUGUGAGGAAGCCCCGGCUAUCUACGUGCCAGCAGCCGCGGUAAUACGUAGGGGGCUAGCGUUAUCCGGAUUUACUGGGCGUAAAGGGUGCGUAGGUGGUCUUUCAAGUCGGUGGUUAAAGGCUACGGCUCAACCGUAGUUAGCCUCCGAAACUGGAAGACUUGAGUGCAGGAGAGGAAAGUGGAAUUCCCAGUGUAGCGGUGAAAUGCGUAGAUAUUGGGAGGAACACCAGUAGCGAAGGCGGCUUUCUGGACUGCAACUGACACUGAGGCACGAAAGCGUGGGUAGCAAACAGG
rnacentral:rRNA from 1 species